AGCAGCAACUGCGGCGGUAGCGGCAAUUGCAACAGCAGUGGCUAUAGCAACAGCAACAAGCAUCAACUCAAACAAGAGGCUUCGGCUUCUUGAUAAAGUGCAGCUUGAACAUCAACAGCAGUGGCAACAGCAGCAGUGCAGCUUGAACAUCAGCAGCAAUGGUGGCGGUAGUGGUGAUGGCAACAGCAACGACAACAGCAACGACAACAGCAGCAUAAGCCAUCUCUCUCUUUCUCUCUCUAUUGGUUUUUCCCUUUUUUCUAUUGAUUUGCAGAGAGUGGCGUGAACAUCGGCAGCGGCGGCAGCAACAGCAAUGAGGAGUCAUGGUCGGAAUCACGAUCUGGACUUUUCCAUUUCCCUCAAUAAACUUGCUAGCUCGUGUCUCAGCCAAUGUUGCAGAAACGUUUAAA